GACGAACGCUGGCGGCGUGCCUAAUACAUGCAAGUCGAGCGGACUUUCAAGAAGCUUGCUUUUUGAAAGUUAGCGGCGGACGGGUGAGUAACACGUGGGCAACCUGCCUGCAAGACGGGGAUAACUCCGGGAAACCGGGGCUAAUACCGGAUAAUAUCUUCCUUCGCAUGAAGGAAGGUUGAAAGGCGGCGCAAGCUGCCGCUUGCAGAUGGUCCCGCGGCGCAUUAGCUAGUUGGUGAGGUAACGGCUCACCAAGGCGACGAUGCGUAGCCGACCUGAGAGGGUGAUCGGCCACACUGGGACUGAGACACGGCCCAGACUCCUACGGGAGGCAGCAGUAGGGAAUCUUCCGCAAUGGACGAAAGUCUGACGGAGCAACGCCGCGUGAGCGAAGAAGGUCUUCGGAUCGUAAAGCUCUGUUGUAAGGGAAGAACAAGUACCGUUCGAACAGGGCGGUACCUUGACGGUACCUGACCAGAAAGCCACGGCUAACUACGUG
rnacentral:rRNA from 1 species